AUGCUUAUGUCGUCCAAGUUGAUUCUCGCGUACCUCGCGUACUUCGCGUAUGAGCCAUUUGAUCAAUGUUAGUGUGGUUUUGUGUCGAUGUUGUAGGUUUCUUUCAGAAGUAGUUCAGUAUUUUUCACGUCUUGUUCAUAGAAUAAUUUUAUGAAUGUGAUUCUAUGUGAUAAUUAUGUGGGAACAUAUCGCUUUCGUUUUUCUUGCGUUCUGUCACGAAGCCUAUGCUUCACAUGGGUUUGAUUUUGGCGAUGCAUUAGCACUCAUUAUUGGAAUGGCUGCUGUGGUUGUCGGUGUAUGUGCCUGUUUGGGAUGCUAUGCGAGAAAAAGAGCUGCAGGACUAGAUGCGUUAUAGCAUCGAGAGAAAAUGCAUCACAAAAAUAUGAAUUUCCUUUUGGAAAGGUGCGCAUUAUUGGUUCAAGGUGCCUUCUCUCUCUCCAGUUGAUCUGACAUUCUGCAUCUGACACGUUUCUUACUUCAUCUCAGUAAAAAUAAUCUAUUUUUAAACAGUAUGUAAAUUCUUUCUUAAAGCAAAAACAAAAGAGUUGUAAUUAUUGUCAAUGUCAAUAUUAUUGUGCCUAAUAUUUAAUCAUGCAAAUGUUGUGAGACAUUAUGUAAUAAAUUGUGUUUUGUUACAUAAA